rnacentral:tRNA from 1 species
GAGGGUAUGAGCUCAGUGCCAGGGUGCCUGCCUAGCAUGCACGAGGUCCUAGGUUCAAUCCCCAGUACCUCCA